AUCUUGCAGGUCAUUUCCAACCUUGUGAUUCUAUGAUUCUAAGUGGAUAUUUGUGCUUUCUAGUUUAUGCAAAUUCUCAUUUUGCCUGCUCACCUGAUCUCCCAUUUCCAGGGCAUGAAUUUUGCCUCAGCUGUUUCUCUGACUCUGUCAUCUGUUGCCUGGGGUACACAGAAGGUUUUUUGAUCUGCAAGCUGAUCAAUCUGUUCAGUUGUCCCACUAAUUUCUCCUAGAGGUGACUGGGAAUGAUAAUGAGAAAAAAACACAAUAGGGUGGUUCUGCUACAAGUUCUGAAAUAUUUUUUUUCUGCUUCAAAAGCUGGAUGCAGAAUACAAAGAGUGGCACAAAUAUUCUUGCUGAACCAUGAUUUCCUCAGUACAGUCUGGCAUUUUGCAUGACGUCAGGUAUUUUUAUAAUUAAUUUUUACAAUGUGGCAAAAAGAUUAAAGUUACAUCAAAAAUUUAUAAAUUUAGGAUUUACAUACUAAAACAUACUAAAACUGAAUAGUGCACAAUGCAAGAUCCCACACAGAUCACACAGCACAUUGCUUGGGCUGGCACGUUUCAAUACGCUUUCCAGCAAAGCUUUAGAUCAUUUUCACAGAGCCCUCUUCCAUGUAGGACUGCCUCCGAGUUGUUCCUUCUUCCCCUUCUGGCACAAGGCGAUGGUGUUUUUCUUGAUGAUGCUCCCUUGAUAGCAUCACAAGAGUCAACAUUAAAAAAAAGUGUAAAAUGACAAAAGUAGUCUGAUUUUAAAACAGAAAUCUGAAUGUCUUUUGAUGCAGUUGUGUGGUAACUGUUAAGUCACAGCCUGAAUCAUUGAUUGAGCACUUGUGGAAAGGACCCAGUCAGCCCUGGGAGCACAGGUGAAGGCAAUUCAGCUGUGUGACCAGAAGGGGUGGAGCCUGGCUCUACCUCUCUUAGACCUCAUUUCAGGGCUGACUGCAACUAUGGGAAGAUCUCUGGUGGUAUUUUUCUUGUGAGCCUAGAUCUUCAGUAACAAGAAGUCUAUUUUAGUUGCUUUGAAAUGAAUAUUUCUACAGUGAAACCUCUGUAAAACUACCCUUGAGUCCUGUUUCUUCCUUGAUUACAGCGCAUCCCAAGUCAUUUCUGUGACAGAGCUUCCUUACUGGGGAAAUCUCAAGAUGCAAAUUGUAUGUAAAUAAUUCAUGUAGGUGGCUUCUGGAGCUCCAUCAAAGAGUGACCCAUCUUGAUGAUGCUCAACAUGCAAGCUGCUACUGAAUCACAGCCACAGCACUACAGUACUGUUUGAUGCUGGGUCUUGGGGCAAUGAAUGUGGAAUAACAGAAGUGGUAUCUGGUAGCUAAAUGCACCUACUGUAUGUCACCUAGUUUUUAAUACUUUUGCAUUACUUUUGCACAUUGAAAAUAAAGAUGGCAUUUAAUUGCUGGUAGAACUGGAUCAUUGUGGCAGAGUUGGACUGAAAAGAAAACAGGCCCAGAGAUGUGAUUCACUGGCUGCAAAAUCAAGUAGCAGAAAGAUCAGAAUUGAAGAAUGCAAAUGGAAGAUUUCCCUGCUCAUCACUAAAAUUUAAAAGCAUAACAAUAAGUAACAUGGUUGUCAUGGUGACUGAGUGUUUGUUUAUGGUAAAAUGCAUCAGGCAAAUCUGGAAUGUUUUUAAUUUAAAGCUCAGAUGACAGAGAAUUGAGUAUUGUAAGAAAGAACAGGAAUAUAUUCUUGGUGGAUACAAUGCAAGUAAUUAUUUUUCCUAUGAAAAUUCCUAUCACAACUCACUUUUUCCUGCCUCUUUCUUCAUUUUAAUUCUGAAUAUGUUUGUCUUUUGAUAAUGGAGGGAGCCAUCAAGUUAGGUUUGAGGAAGGGGAAAAUGAGCACUACUCGUAAGCAGACUCUUGGUAGUAAGCAGACAUUAUGGCUUCUUAUAACAAUCUUUUUUUAAAAAAGAAUAAUCCUUAAAUCUGAUUGCUGCACUAUAUGUUGUGCUGGAGCUUGCAAAUACAUGAGAAGUCAGUCAGAUAGUAUGCUGCAUAGAAUUAGUUCAGCAUUUUUUCUCCUGAAAUUGUCAGGUGACUCAAUUUUCUGGGCCCCAUAUUCUAAAAUUCAGUUUUAUUUGCCUACAAAUAGCACACAUAAAAAAAACCCCAAAACACUAAACCUCCAGUACCAAUAUAAGAAAACUUAAUAAAAUAUUCAAUUUGCUGCUAUUUAAAUUGAUGGGAAAAUCUUGUUAAGAUUAGAAGUGUCCAAUAGGCUGUAAGAUAGUUUGUUAUAUGAUAAUAAAUUAGUUUUGUGUAAAUUACUCUUGCUGUAAUAGAGCCUACAUUUGCAAGCAUUUCUUUGAAAUCAUUCGGGAAUAGCUCUCCAUUUUGAACUAGUGACUUCAGUGCCUCAGGGCUACACUGGAGGCCAAUGAACAACAGCAUCCUCACCUACAGCUAUGUACUUGCAGACAGUAUUUAAUGCCAAUGGCAAAAUAUCCAAUGGACUUUCACAGGAGACGUUCAGAAGGUCUGGAGCACAGAACUCAGUUGUUUAAGGAUGGCAAGAAGGUUUUUAGAAAGCCUGAAAAUCAUCAUACCUUCACUCUCCAUCUCUAUCUCUUUUUAAGGGUAACAAAUGCAGUAAAUGGAGGGAGAUAUCUGAUUUGCAUGCAGUACCUGCCAGUUUGCAGGGAACUUUUUGCUGUCACUGGUCAGAAGAUAACAUUUAUUUUGCAUUUAAUUGUAUUUUUGGGAAUGUAUCAUCGUGCCUUGUGAUUUUAAGUGAACUGGCAAAAAUUUAACUAGUAACAAUCAUUAUAUUUUAAUACUCAUAGAUUUCAUUGAAAUGAGUGGUAAUACAUGUAUUAACUUUAGUAGGCACAAGACAGGCUUUAAUGGUACACCACCUACGAAUCUUUUAAAGAUAUUGCUUUAGAAUGAGAGGAAAAGUGUUUGAAGUUCUCUUCUUGUACAAGGCAAAUGAUGUGGGUUUAUGUUAAAUUUGAAAAAAAUAUCAAAUGACUUUGUAAAAAAGUUUAACUUAAUCAGAUUUGCAGAUUCUCAUAUAGAUUACCAGACUAGUAACUACCUUCUUGGUAUUAUUACUAAAAAAAGAAUUAUUAUUUGCAAAUUGCAUAAAAAUAAAUAGAAGAAAUUUGAGAAGUUGCUGUAGUGCAUUGGGGUAAGAAGCAGUAGUAACAAUAUCAAAAACACUUGAAUGCAGAAGUUUCAAUAUUUCAUAGAGGUUUUUUGUUUGUUUGUUUUUUAAGUAAUAAAGUUCUCCACUUUCCUGGAUCCCUUUAGAGACCUUUUUAGUGGUCCAUCAGUCUUCUGAAAGAAGAGAUUGGUGAAGUAUUUACCAUGAAAGUAGCUUUGACUUGAAAUUCCAUCUUCAUGGAAUGAAGUCAUGGGUGAAACUCAACAGUGAUUGUUUGGCCUAAGUUGAUUUGUUAAAUCAAUGUUGCUCAAAUUAUUUUGCUAGUUGUAUAUUUUUUUCAACCUCAAACGUAUGCCUUUGCAAUGAGCAUCGUCUUUGAGAUGCAAAAAUUAGAGAUUAUCUGUAAAUUGUUCAAAUCUGAAAUAGCUGGAAAACUGAGAUGACUUUUGUGGGGAGAUGUCACAGAAUUCAGUAGAUCCAAUACCUAAUUCUGGUUCUACUGCUAGCUACCUGUAGUACUGGUAGUACAGAUCCAGGUAAAUAUGGACAUUUGCUUUCUUCUUCUGGCCUUACACCCAAAGCAGGAAAACUACUUAUACUAUUGAAAAGAUCAUUCUUUCAUCUUGUAUCUAAUAGUUCUGAAUAAUGUCAAAGGCUCUGCUGUGAGGAUAUUUGGUUUCCUAAAAGGUGGGUAGACAUCCCCUGACCUGCCUCACAUAGCCCAUACAACUUUCCGUUGCGCUAGGUGAAAGCUGCUCAUACAUUCUUCAGAUCUUUGAUGUUCCUCUUUCACCCUUUAUUGUUUCCCCCUCAUUUUCAUCACAAAUAUUUCAGGCAUAUUAUUCACCUCCCAGUCAAGCAAGAGUGGUAUCAUUAUGUAAAAAAGAAAUGAUCACACAGACAUAAUUUUAUUUGUAUUUGUCUAUGAUUAAGGCUGUCAUUAUCCUCCGAUGGUUCAAUUUUUAUUAUACAAUUCAGAUCUGAAACAUGAGUCUGAAAGUUUCCACUGGAGUAUGUUAAUAGGGUAUCCAAUGUCCUGUCUAUUUCAAGAAAAUUAAUGGUAGAAAUUUUAGUAUAAUGACAGGGAGAAACGCAGAACAUUAAAUGUCCUAAGCCUCUUUGCUGAUGUCCUUGCCUGUUGGUGUAGGACAGAGUCUAGGGUGCAGCUGCGUGCCACCUGCUCAAUUUAAGGGGCACAGAGGAGCAGUGGGGAGAGGAGCAAGCUCUGCAAUGGCCUAUUCUGCUCAGCUGACACUAAUGUGUUUUGAUGGCAGGGUCACAGGUGAAAUUAGAGACCUUUUUUUUCCUAAUCUAGGGUAAAAUAAUCUUUCCAGUAACAUAUGGGUACAACCUUCAGGCUGUCUGGCUUUAACCAUGAAGAUGAGGAUAUGCAGAAAGCAGAAAAUGCAAUAGCAGUAAAAUAGAAUUCACUCAAAUAAGCACUUGUUUUCUGUUCUAGGAAGCAUGAAUACUGUGCCUCUAUUGGAUUCCAUCUGGAUGUCAGUAUACUCCUGAAAAUCAAUAUUUUUAUACCAAAAGAUCAACCACAAACCAAACCCAGGGAAUAUUAAUUAAUUGGCAAAUGCUCCUUUGAAGAUAAAUUAAGAAAAUAGGGUGGAAUUUCUACUCAAGAUUUUUCUUUUGAUAAAUUCUGGUCCUUCGUUAUUUUUGUUUGAUGGUUUUCUGCUUCAGACCUAGAUUUAAGCUGAAUGUAAUCAAGCAUGAGUGGAUGUCUUCUGUCCGUUCUUGAGAAAGGCAAAUGAGACCCCUAAGAAUUGAUAACAUAUGCUCAGAAUACUAUUCUAAACACUUAACAAGGCUUUUUUUAGGACCAGACAGAUUUUGUUAACACAGUGUUUUUUCUUGAUGAGUUUUUUGUGGUUUUAAGAAAUAGUUCCUGAGCUUUUUUUUUUUCUUUAUAAUUACUAUUAUUCUUCUGAAGAAUACUAGUCCAGAAAGAUGCAAUAUUUCUCAGUAAUUUCAGAACGUCACCAAUAUUUUGGCAGAAUUAAUGCUUACAUGAAUCUCAUGUUCUUAUUUAACUAUUAUACAGUUUUGAAUAAUUAUUUCAUAAUAUUAAAGGUUACAGCACAAGGAGUUUCAUUUUUUGUGUGGUGUUUAUCUGUACCUAAACAGUCCCAUACCAUCUGCCAAGAUUGCUUUUCCUUGAUUAUGGAUCAGAACAAUUGUAGCAAUAAUGAAUAAUUCAUUUCUAUGAUAAACCACGGAUGUGUCAGAAGACUACAAUGCCUAGAAAACAAGCCUCUGACUUCUGGUUCACUGAAUCAAAUGCAGCUUGAGCCAGAAUGGACCAGAAAUCAGAGCCAAUUAUUUCUUGGGUUACCAUUUAGAAAAAAUGUUGUUGUAUUAUUAUGGGUAUGACAGGACUUUAUGGGCAGAAUGAGAGAAGAGCCAACAACCUACAGGACCUUACCUAAGCUGAACAGGAUCAAAAACAAGUUAGGACAGAUAAAAAUAUCUGAUCAAGUAUUACGUAUACCAUAAUAUCUUCAUUGUUUUUUGUCACCUGUUCUUUAACAGAAUAUUUUGAGGCAUAGGGCAAUAACUGACUUCUCAUUAGAAAAAUAUAUACCAAAAUCUCCUGUCCCCCACCUUUCCCUACCUCUCCAAUGUAUUAUGCCAUUUUGCUAAAUGACAAUAGCAUUGGACGUUUUAUUAGGCUUCUUAGCAGAAAGGCUGUGAGAGUAGUAGGGUAGGAAG